AUUGAACGCUGGCGGCAGGCUUAACACAUGCAAGUCGAACGGUAACAGGAGAAAGCUUGCUUUCUUGCUGACGAGUGGCGGACGGGUGAGUAAUGCUUGGGAAUCUGGCUUAUGGAGGGGGAUAACGACGGGAAACUGUCGCUAAUACCGCGUAGAGUCGAGAGACGAAAGUGCGGGACCGCAAGGCCGCAUGCCAUAGGAUGAGCCCAAGUGGGAUUAGGUAGUUGGUGGGGUAAUGGCCUACCAAGCCGACGAUCUCUAGCUGGUCUGAGAGGAUGACCAGCCACACCGGGACUGAGACACGGCCCGGACUCCUACGGGAGGCAGCAGUGGGGAAUAUUGCGCAAUGGGGGCAACCCUGACGCAGCCAUGCCGCGUGAAUGAAGAAGGCCUUCGGGUUGUAAAGUUCUUUCGGUGACGAGGAAGGCGUGAUGUUUAAUAGGCAUCACGAUUGACGUUAAUCACAGAAGAAGCACCGGCUAACUCCGUGCCAGCAGCCGCGGUAAUACGGAGGGUGCGAGCGUUAAUCGGAAUAACUGGGCGUAAAGGGCACGCAGGCGGCUAUUUAAGUGAGGUGUGAAAUCCCCGGGCUUAACCUGGGAAUUGCAUUUCAGACUGGGUAGCUAGAGUACUUUAGGGAGGGGUAGAAUUCCACGUGUAGCGGUGAAAUGCGUAGAGAUGUGGAGGAAUACCGAAGGCGAAGGCAGCCCCUUGGGAAUGUACUGACGCUCAUGUGCGAAAGCGUGGGGAGCAAACAGG
rnacentral:rRNA from 1 species